GGGAAUGUAGCUCAGUGACAGAGCAUGUGCUUAGCAUGUACAGGGCCCUGGGUUCAAUACACAGCACCA
rnacentral:tRNA from 1 species